rnacentral:snoRNA from 1 species
UUUGGAGCCAAAGUGGCAUAUAUCAGAAUCUCUAAUCCGAUUUGUGUCUCAAAUGCUCCCAAACUAAGCAAAGAUGAACGGCAUCCUGUAUAGUUCCAUCAUAUUAUAACAGAUGACUUGUGUUCAACUACA